rnacentral:rRNA from 1 species
GACGAACGCUGGCGGCGUGCUUAACACAUGCAAGUCGAACGGAAAGGCCCUGCUUUUGUGGGGUGCUCGAGUGGCGAACGGGUGAGUAACACGUGAGUAACCUGCCCUUGACUUUGGGAUAACUUCAGGAAACUGGGGCUAAUACCGGAUAGGAGCUCCUGCUGCAUGGUGGGGGUUGGAAAGUGUCGGCGGUUGGGGAUGGACUCGCGGCUUAUCAGCUUGUUGGUGAGGUAGUGGCUUACCAAGGCUUUGACGGGUAGCCGGCCUGAGAGGGUGACCGGCCACAUGGGGACUGAGAUACGGCCCAGACGCCUACGGGAGGCAGCAGUGGGGAAUAUUGCAGAAUGGGCGGAAGCCUGAUGCAGCAACGCCGCGUGCGGGAUGACGGCUUUCGGGUUGUAAACCGCUUUCGACGGUGACGAAGCGUGAGUGACGGUAAUGGGUAAAGAAGCACCGGCUAACUACGUG